rnacentral:lncRNA from 1 species
AAGAAACCCUGCCCAGGGUGUGGACGUGUGAAUUAGAGGGAAAGGCGGGAAGGGCCAGCUCCCACAUCUCGCUAGCGCUGGCCCCCGAGGUCAAAAGCUACACGUGCGUGCCGAUGUGGGUUUGUAUAUCUAGAUAUGUAUUCCAUGUAACAUCUUUUCUUCUUCCCCCGGGGCCUUGGGACAGUGGCUCAGUGCUGAGGAGGGGCGGUGGCGCGCAUGCGCUCAGGUCCGUCCGUCCCGGGGGCACUUUGGGAGUCGUAGUCUCAUGUGCUUUGCAGCAGCUCGAGGAGGAGGAGGAGGAGGAGGAGGAGGGAAAAGAAGGUCGAAGCGUGCUAGCAGCCCUUGGCUGAGGUCCAGCAGCUCCCGGAGCAGCAGUAGCGGCAGCGGCGGCAGACACGGCGGCGGCGGCGGCUCCUGCACCCUCGCUACCGGGCAGGGACCAGACACAGUAGUAGCUUCCUCCCACCCCAUCAUGCCGGCCUCCCCCCCUCCCCUCAGCCCUAGGGCCAGAAGAGCGAGAAAGCAUGCCUGCGGUAAAGGGUCCGAUUGGAGCCUCGCUUCGCCUCGCCCCACCUCGCCUCGCCCCGCAUGCGGCCAGGAGAAGGGACAAGGGAGGCUUCCAUUCUAUCAUUGGGGAUUCUGGAAAACUGGAAGUGGUCAGAAGACUAGGGGACCACUCAGAACUGUCCUCAAGAAAGGGAUUUUCAGGAAACUUUUCAAGAUCCGGAGACCAGUAGCCGUGUACCCAUUCUUCUCAAGCCUCAGGUCAUUUGAAGAAUUGAAAGGGAGAAGAGCCAGGGCUUGA